rnacentral:lncRNA from 1 species
CUGCCGCUCACCUCGCUGGACGGCCCGCGAAGUUCCUGAUGACCGCCGCGCGUCCCUGGUGGUGAGCCCGGCCACCGGGGUCUCCUGCACCUCCAGGAGCAGCUCCUCAGACAGGAGCCUGCUGCCGCUCUCCUAGGCCACCUUGGCGGGCUGCACGUCGCCCGGAUGCAGGUCCUGAUUCCACUGGACCUGUCUUAUAAAACUGCGGAGCAGUGGGAGAGAGAGUGCCGCUCCAAGCAGCUUGUGAAGUGACUGGGGUCUGCUCAGUGUGGCGAAGUCUGGGAAGGCUGUGGAACACCACCGCUCCAGUAGCUGUGAAAACAUGAAGACCAAGUGUGAGAAUGUGACACACUGAAUCAGCCCACUGCAGACAGGCAGCUCUAUGGACUCCAUAGCAACAUCACCAGUUGCA